rnacentral:rRNA from 1 species
CCUACGGGGUGCAGCAGUGGGGAAUAUUGGGCAAUGGGCGCAAGCCUGACCCAGCAACGCCGCGUGAAGGAAGAAGGCUUUCGGGUUGUAAACUUCUUUUGUCAGGGACGAAGGAAGUGACGGUACCUGACGAAUAAGCCACGGCUAACUACGUGCCAGCAGCCGCGGUAAUACGUAGGUGGCAAGCGUUAUCCGGAUUUACUGGGUGUAAAGGGAGUGUAGGCGGGACGGGAAGUCAGAUGUGAAAACCACGGGCUCAACCUGUGGCCUGCAUUUGAAACUGUAGUUCUUGAGUACUGGAGAGGAAGGCGGAAUGCCUAGUGUAGCGGUGAAAUGCGUAGAUAUUAGGAGGAACACCAGUGGCGAAGGCGGCCUGCUGGACAGAAACUGACGCUGAGGCGCGAAAGCGUGGGGAGCAAACAGGAUUAGAUACCCCAGUAGUC